UACGUAGGUGGCAAGCGUUGUCCGGAUUUAUUGGGUUUAAAGGGUGCGUAGGCGGCUUUGUAAGUCAGUGGUGAAAUAUGGCAGCUCAACUGUCAGGGUGCCAAUGAUACUGCGGAGCUUGAGUACAGAUGAGGUAGGCGGAAUUGACGGUGUAGCGGUGAAAUGCUUAGAUAUCGUCAAGAACACCGAUAGCGAAGGCAGCUUACUAGGCUGUAACUGACGCUGAGGCACGAAAGUGUGGGGAUCAAACAGGAUUAGAAACCCCCGUAGUCC
rnacentral:rRNA from 1 species